rnacentral:rRNA from 1 species
UACGUAGGGUGCGAGCGUUAAUCGGAAUUACUGGGCGUAAAGCGUGCGCAGGCGGUUUGCUAAGACCGAUGUGAAAUCCCCGGGCUCAACCUGGGAACUGCAUUGGUGACUGGCAGGCUAGAGUAUGGCAGAGGGGGGUAGAAUUCCACGUGUAGCAGUGAAAUGCGUAGAGAUGUGGAGGAAUACCGAUGGCGAAGGCAGCCCCCUGGGCCAAUACCGACGCUCAUGCACGAAAGCGUGGGGAGCAAACAGG